CGCACUUCUAUUUUGAGUUUCAGUUAAAAAAUGACAGUGGUUUUAACAGACCCCUACUAAUAGUAGGGCUUCUUUCCUCCAGACAGGGUACUGUUAACGUAAAAAUCAUGUGGUAUAGAGCCCUCUUGGAAGGCUUUUUAUCAUAUAAAGAAGAGUAAAGAGUGUGACAGAGGAAAAGAGCGCAGGGAGUAUGGAAGGAACCCUUACUUAUGUUUUUAUUGCCAGAAAGAAAUGCAUAAGCGGAGCCUGCAUCAUGGCGUCUAAUCCCAAUAUCCCAAACGCAAGCAGGGUUCGACUCUGAUUUUGAUGUUGCCAAUUAGAAUUCUGUUAGAAGGACUUUUCUAUGUGAUUUUUCAAGUUAACAGUCAGAGUCUUGUUUGAAUGGAAUGUCCUUCAAUGUUUCAAACCGAGUUUGACUGUGUGAUUUUGACGAUUUUGAUGCUGAGAAGCAAACCUUAUUUGGAGGACUUUCCUGUAUGAAUUUUAUGUUGAUAGUUAGAGCCUUUUUUAAUCCUUCAAACAGAACUCGACUGUGUAAUUGUGAUGUUGACAAUCAGAAGUUAGUACCCUGUUUGAAGGACUUUCCUGUGUGAUUUGCUGCAGUUGUUGGUGCAGUAUGCUAUUCUCUAUUCAUUCUCUUUUCAGGCUUCUUCAUUCCUAAAAAGCCAACGUGAAUCCAACAACCAGAAAUGAAAGACAGAGGCUUCUAUAAAAUAUUGGAAACUUGCUGGGAUAUUGGGAUUAGAUGCCAUGAUGCAAGCUCAGCUUUUCAACAAACAAGUGUCAUGUUUCGCGAAUUCCUUUCACGCUGUCUGUGCUCUUUUCCUCUAUCACAUUCUUUCCUCUUCUUUUGUACUUCAUUGCAAACCAAAAGCUCCUCUUCACUGUUUUGUUUUUCAUACUUGUUUAUGGUAAUCUAUGUAAUUUUAAAUGUGUUUAAUAUGCUUUAUUUUGCAUGUAGAAUAAACUGAGCAGUGUGUGAUUAACCUUGUAUAAUGUGUUUUUAGUCUGUAUAGGCAAAGACUUAUGUUUUCACCCAUAGUUGAAAAACUCGGACUCGCCACGGACUCGGCAAACCAAAAAUUUGGACUCGGACUCGGACUCGUGAAAGACUCGUGAAAGACUCGACAAGGACUCGGCAAAAAAAAAAACCAUAGUUCUACAAAAAAACAUAAAGAAAUUAAUGCAUUUAGAGAACAUAAGAGCCAUAAUUGAAACAUUACACAUGUCAGAUACUCAUAGUUUCAAACUUUCAACUCUAAAAUGUAUAAUACCAAGAUUUCUUCAAUGCUAAUUAUGCUUUUAUAUGGAGCCUAAUCAAACUCAGAGGUUAAAUUUUCCCUACUUCCAUCGGCGCAAUUUCCCCCUAUAUUUUUCGACGGGGGUUUGGGGGCAGCGCCCCCAAGUUGGGGUCAAGGGGCAUCACCGAAGGAUCCUAAAAUUUGACUAAGUCUGGAAAAUUGAAGAAUCCUCCAAAAACUAGAUUUUGCAUUAUAACUCCUGGAGGUCCGAAACCACUCUCAAACAUUCUGACAGUAUAUAUGGAAUAUAACUUAAAGUAUAAGAAACUUAUACUUAAAUGUUAUAUUCCAUAUAUGAAUCCUGACAGAGAGACCAAAAUUUUUCACAUGUUAAACUCAUUUUUAAAGCUUGCAUGACUGUUUUCUGGGUCGGGUGAGUCCAUCUGAAAGACUCACGAGUCCAUGCAAAAGACUCGCGCGAGUCCUGGCAAAAACUCGCGAGUCUUUCAGAUGGACUCGCCUCGCGAGUCCUUGGCGAGUCGACUUGUGGCUCCCAUGGACUCGUGAGUCUGUGGCGAGUCCACGAGUUUUAAAACUAUGUUUUCACCUCACUAAACGUCUAUUAAUCUCCAUUCAGGAAGCAUGCCAGCUUUUUCUAUGGUGUGCAGCAUUCUGAUCUUAAAAUCAGAAUUUUAGAACGUUUUCUCUUUUUCUGAUUUGCCCCUCAUUUUUUUCCCAGUGUUUUUUUUCAUUUUCCUAUUGAAAGUCAAGAAAAAAAAUCUUCUCACCAACGAACAACGAGCAGGGAAAAAUGUAAGACAUUUCCUAAUGUUUCGUAUAAGGUUUUGGUUGUUAUGUGGCAUUCUGCAAACAGUUCACAUGCCUUGUCUCUGAUAUGAAAUUUUUGUAUACAUGCAGAAACCAUAGCAUAGCCCUCAUUUAUCAGCUUCAUUGGCCAUCUAAAGCUUCUCACCUGUAGUCCAUUCAUUACAAAACCAGACCCAAAAAAUCCAAGUAUGUAGACAUGGGAAAGCUCGAAAUUGAAAUUCUGAUUUGUUAGGGUUAUGUAAUAUUUCCUGCAAACUCUGCCCAUUUUUCCUCAUCAACAUUGUUGACUGCGUGACACAAUUUGUGCAGAAUCUUAAGGUAAGUCACUUGCCAUGGUUUCAGCGAGCUUUGAUUUUGUUUUUAUUAAUCCGUACACAACCAAAUCAUUUUUUGUUUUGUUUUAUUUCAUUCUAGAACAAUUCUGUUGUUUUAUAUCAGCAGCAGUAGCUGGUAUAUGUUCCCUAUUUGUUUUGAAGAGCAUUUCUCUGCAUCGGUUGCCUUUGCAUCCAUACUCUUGUUUAUAUAUACCAAGGUUUGAACAGAGUAGGCAAUGAUUGUAUUCAUUUGGGCUUCAUUGUAUGUAUAUUUAACGAAGGAAGGAUUAUUGGGUGCUUUCCUCUUGAUAGUUUGGGUUCUAUAGGAUCUAUGUCAUGCAGAGAAAAAAAAUUAUUGGACUAUAUCUAUUUUAUCUGUUAGUGGACAUUUGCAAAGAAGGCUCUCUGUAAAAAGCCAAAAGCUCAACAAAAGUGAGAUGUUGCAUCAGCACAUUCACUAUCUAGUGGUCAAUCUUUCCACUGUUGCAUCAGCACGUUCAAAGAAAUCUCUCUAUAAAAAGCCAAAAGCUCAACAAAAGUGAGAUGUUGCAUCAGCACAUUCAUUAUCUAGAGGUAAAUCUUUUCACUAUGGUAUGUAUAUAUUCAUUUUCCACUCAAUUUAGCACUUAAAUGCUUACAUUAUUUUUCCACUCAAUUUAGUACCCUUUUCCUUAUCCAUUUCUAAUCAAACAAAAGUUUCUGGAGCAUGCUUGAACAAAACAGCGAGUCAGUAGUUACAUACAUGAAUUGUAUACGAUGCAGAUACCAUAACAAAACUGCCAAAACUUCAAAUGAAUAGAAGCUCAUCCAACGAGCAUAAAUUGCAAUGCUCCUGUUUCUCUCUUUAUAUGUCAUUGGUUUAACAGGACCUAGUCUAAGAGCAGAUAUAUCAAGAACUUUAUCUUACUUGUACUCCUAAGCUAAAUUGCAGCGUCAUAGUUAGAAAACAAAAAGGAAAUCUAUGGAAGAAGCAAACAAGAUAAGGUUGAUAUUGGUAGGCAUGGAUGGGAGUGAGGAAAGUAUCCAUGCUCUUCUAUAGACUCUCUGUGACCUCAGUACUGAGCAAGAUAGGUUGAUUAUAAUCCAUGCUAAGCCCACUGGAUCUUCCAAGGCGAAAGCAAACAAGGGUGAUAUUGGUAGGCAUGGAUGAGAGUGAGGAAAGUAUCCAUGCUCUUCUAUAGACUCUCUGUGACCUCGGUACUGAAAGAUAGGUUGACUAUAAUCCAUGCUCAGCCCACUGGAUCUUCCAAGGCGAAAGCUCUGGCCCAUUUCAGUCAUUACAUUUUUACUCAUUUGGGUUCUAUUUGGAUUUAGAUUAGAUACAUUUAUCAUUUGUUUCUGAAGUGCCAUGUUUCUGUGAUUAGCAUUUGAAGAGGCUGAUUUCUGAUUUAGUUUUUAUGUGGGCAGAUUCACUUGUGUCGUUCCUGACGUUAGACAGAAGAGGAUAUUAAGUAGUCUAUGACGAGGCUUUUUGCAACAGCAAUGGAAAAAAGCACAUAAAAACGUGUAAAUUUGAUCAUAUUCAUUUAGGAUCAGUUCAAACCAUAAGCUGUAUUUUGCAUGGUUGUAUGAAUUUCCUUCAAUUAUGUGAACUUAUUUGUAUCUUCUUUAGGUGGGUGCUCAGGUCCCUAAGAUCUUUCUAUUUAAAUCAACAUUAGGUCUGAUAUUUUUGAGUAGUUUUAGAGCUGAUUAGAUUGAAUAUGUAAUGGAAUCCUGUAUAUGGCGCCCGAAAUCAAUGGAUUGGCAUCUUUCAGCUUCUUGUGAAAGCCGAAGCACAUUGGUAAGGCCCAUCAAUAGUAUUUUUAUGUGAGAUGUUAGUAGAAUCUUGCCGCAACCAUAACAUGUAAGAGCAAUGCCAUCACUGGAAAAAACAUUUUUCUCAGCUUAUUUACUAUGCUUGAUAGAGCUGUUGAAAGCAACCUCAAUAAAAAACUAUUGUCAAUUUUCUUGUUGAA